CUUAGCUCAGUUGGUUAGAGCGCCGGUUUGUGGAACCGGAGGUCCUCAGUUCAAGCCUGAGAGG
rnacentral:tRNA from 1 species